rnacentral:lncRNA from 1 species
CACAUCAUAUUACAGGAGAUAUGAAUUCUUAAUGUGCUAUCUGUAUUGCAUUAAUCUUUACAUGCUUCUUGUACUGUGUAUUUAAGAUUUUAACUAUUAAUACUAAGUUACUCCAUUACACUGAGAAGUUUGUGCUGGAGGCUGGCUCCUGGAACUCUUUCUGUCUAGAGAAUUGCAUUCCCGAGAACUGACGUGUGAUUCUUAGUGGCUAAGGAGACCAACAGACGUUGUCAGGUUAGGAUUCAGCAGCUAUUAAUAUGAGUCUCUAAAAUAAGUCCUACAAUUUGGGAUCUAGACAUGUCUAUUUUUCUCCCACUUGCCUGUAGAGAAGCCUGGAAUGAGUAGUUCAGUUGUAAAUAAAGAGCUGUGUACAUUUAGUUUGAUUGAACCCCAUUUCAAGUGAAGGAAAUUUACUGCUGUCUGUUAUCUGAUGGUCUUCUUGGAAGGAGUGAUAUAAAUGCCAUUCAAAACUCUACUCCAUAUCUUCAGGAGCAAUUCUGUCAGAGAGGAAAAGGAAUGAAUGGGAUGCUUUGAGCACUACAAGAUUUUGCAGUUCUACAAAUAUGUAUCAACCAUUAUUUCCAGAGUGACACUGCUUGCCUUGAGAAAUAAUAAAUUAUGAGAUGAGCAGGACAGCACUUUUAAGAAGGACCUUCCCAAGGGAGUGCCGUCUUUGCUAAGCACUAUUGAAGAGAACUGAUGAAAAGCAACACAGAUCAGUGUGAAGGACGCGGCAGGCACUUCAACUCAAAAGCACUCUGAACUGCUUGCUGUAAAUUACACACCUGGAGUACUGUUCCACUCUGAUAAGCUCUGCCCUCUCCCCUUCUCAGCUUUGUGGAAGAGGUACAGGUAAGGAUUACUCUGUUCAUGCCAUGCAUUAAUGUAUCUUUAUACCAACAAAUUCUCAUUAUUUUCCG